rnacentral:lncRNA from 1 species
AUGACAGCAGGAGGCCGUAAGUGGGGGAGGGAGGGAAGGACGGAGGGAGCGCGGAUCCCGGCUCUCCUGAUCGCAAACUCGGAGCCAGAGCUCUCCGCGCGCGCCCCAGCCGCUGGCCGCCCGCGCAGCCGGACGCGGAACCCCGGCGCAGCGGGAGCCUUGCAGGACGGGCGCGGGGCGGCGGCGGCGGCCGUCCAUGCGGCGGGCUCGGGGCUGCCCGGCGCCGGGAACCACGCGGGGGCCAGGCAAGGCUGCCACUGGCCGCACCGGGACUCGGACCGCCAGGAGGUGAACAUCACCCCCAUCUGCAGAAAAUUGGCAGCAUCUCUGAGGAGCCCUUGCUUUUUCCUGGGACACUCAGGAUCAUGGUUUCCUGUUUCAUGGAGUCCUUCAGGAACAAGACUUUGGGCCAGAUUGCCAGUGUUUUGAAGAGCUGCGGGCACAGCUAUGGACUACCAAUUAGAUAGGUAUGUGUGAGGAGGGUGGGGUGUCCUAAAGUGGAGUCUGCAGUGUAGGGGUGGGAAGCUUCCAGCC